rnacentral:rRNA from 7 species
GCUAACGGCUGAACUGGCAACUUGGAGAAGUGGCAAGUCUUCCAGUAUGGGGAGCAAAACAGCUAUGGGUCAAGUCCGAUAUCUUUAGGAGAAGUCUUAUUGUGAGGGCGAGUUAUAUAACACCAUAGGACUGGCCGUCCCAUAUGAAAAGAUUAUAUUAGAAUUGAAUGAAGCUUUGUUUAUAUAUUGAUAAUGACAGUAUAUAUAUCGUGUCUUGACUAAUUGCGUGCCAGCAGUCGCGGUAAUACGUAAGAGACUAGUGUUAUUCAUCUUAAUUAGGUUUAAAGGGUACCCAGACGGUCAAUAUAGCUUAUAAAAUGUUAGUACUUGACUAGAGUUUUAUGUAAGAGGGCAGUACUUGAGGAGGAGAGAUGAAAUUUCGUGAUACCAAAGGGACUCUGUAAAGGCGAAGGCAGCCCUCUAUGUAAAAACUGACGUUGAAGGACGAAGGCACAGAGAACAAACAGGAUUAGAUACCCAAGUAGUCUUUGCAGUAAAUGAUGAAUGCCAUAGGUUAGAUUGGUCAAUUAUAGUCUAGGGUUAGUCUAGCAAACUAAUACCCUAUGCUAUAAUCCUAAUAUCUGGUCUAUAAAUGAAAGUGUAAGCAUUUCACCUCAAGAGUAAUGUGGCAACGCAGGAACUGAAAUCACUAGACCGUUUCUGACACCAGUAGUGAAGUAU